UAUAUUGAUGUAGAUAGGUAUAUUAAUAUUAUACAUAGUUAUUAAUCAAAUAUUAAUACCUAUACUUAAUGUGAUUAUAUAUAUUUUAUUAUUAUAUAUUUUUGUUUUGUACAUUUUGUUCACUGUUUUACCAUCAGUACUUUAGUUUCUGUUUGUGGUUUAUUACGAGCCUAGAGUUUGCGACUGUUAUUUGUCAAUGAUGGUGAAAGUUCCAUACCAAUGUUCAGUUUUGGGAUGCAAAGCAAAAGUAAACAGUGAAUCCACUACCAACAAUAGUUUUGUUCGUCUGAUGAUAAUAUGUUACAUAUUGCAUCUAUUAAUGACAAUUUUAACUUAUCUGGUUUCAAUCUAUUAGAUCCCGAUGAAAAUGAUAAAUUAGUUGGUAUGUAAGAACUAAAUCAACUAAAACAGAUAAGUACAAGAAUAAGCAACUAUCGAUGACUUCUAUUGACAUUUCUGAAAACAUAGAUCAACAUAAUAUUAGAUAUAAAUCUAAUGUAAGCUUGCCUACUGAACUACUGGCGAAUUCUAGUGAAAAAAUUGUUCUAGAAGAAAAUAAUU